GUUCGCCGAUUAAAGUGGUACGUGAGCUGGGUUUAGAACGUCGUGAGACAGUUCGGUCCCUAUCUACCGUGGGCGUUGGAGAGUUGAGAGGAUCUGUCCUUAGUACGAGAGGACCGGGAUGGACGAACCUCUGGUGUUUCUGUUGUACCGCCAGGUGCAUUGCAGGGUAGCCACGUUCGGAACGGAUAACCGCUGAAGGCAUCUAAGCGGGAAGCCGGCCUCAAGAUUAGCUCUCCCGUGGCCUUGAGCCACCUAAAGGGCCCUGGAAGACUACCAGGUUGAUAGGCUGGGUGUGGAAGCGCAGCAAUGCGUGGAGCUGACCAGUACUAAUCGCCCGUGCGGCUUGACCAUGCAACGUUA
rnacentral:rRNA from 1 species